rnacentral:rRNA from 1 species
ACGUAGGAGGCGAGCGUUAUCCGGAGUUACUGGGCGUAAAGCGCGUGUAGGUGGUUGCGUAAGUCUGGCGUGAAAUUUUUCGGCUUAACCGGGAAAGGUCGUCGGAUACUGCGUAGCUAGAGGACGGUAGAGGCGUGUGGAAUUCCGGGUGUAGUGGUGAAAUGCGUAGAGAUCCGGAGGAACACCAGUGGCGAAGGCGACACGCUGGGCCGUACCUGACACUGAUGCGCGACAGCAUGGGGAGCAAACAGGA